rnacentral:rRNA from 1 species
UUAGAGUUUGAUCCUGGCUCAGGACGAACGCUGGCGGCGUGCCUAAUACAUGCAAGUCGAGCGAGCGGAACUAACAGAUUUACUUCGGUAAUGACGUUAGGAAAGCGAGCGGCGGAUGGGUGAGUAACACGUGGGGAACCUGCCCCAUAGUCUGGGAUACCACUUGGAAACAGGUGCUAAUACCGGAUAAGAAAGCAGAUCGCAUGAUCAGCUUUUAAAAGGCGGCGUAAGCUGUCGCUAUGGGAUGGCCCCGCGGUGCAUUAGCUAGUUGGUAAGGUAAAGGCUUACCAAGGCGAUGAUGCAUAGCCGAGUUGAGAGACUGAUCGGCCACAUUGGGACUGAGACACGGCCCAAACUCCUACGGGAGGCAGCAGUAGGGAAUCUUCCACAAUGGACGCAAGUCUGAUGGAGCAACGCCGCGUGAGUGAAGAAGGUUUUCGGAUCGUAAAGCUCUGUUGUUGGUGAAGAAGGAUAGAGGUAGUAACUGGCCUUUAUUUGACGGUAAUCAACCAGAAAGUCAUGGCUAACUACGUGCCAGCAGCCGCGGUAAUACGUAGGUGGCAAGCGUUGUCCGGAUUUAUUGGGCGUAAAGCGAGCGCAGGCGGAAGAAUAAGUCUGAUGUGAAAGCCCUCGGCUUAACCGAGGAACUGCAUCGGAAACUGUUUUUCUUGAGUGCAGAAGAGGAGAGUGGAACUCCAUGUGUAGCGGUGGAAUGCGUAGAUAUAUGGAAGAACACCAGUGGCGAAGGCGGCUCUCUGGUCUGCAACUGACGCUGAGGCUCGAAAGCAUGGGUAGCGAACAGGAUUAGAUACCCUGGUAGUCCAUGCCGUAAACGAUGAGUGCUAAGUGUUGGGAGGUUUCCGCCUCUCAGUGCUGCAGCUAACGCAUUAAGCACUCCGCCUGGGGAGUACGACCGCAAGGUUGAAACUCAAAGGAAUUGACGGGGGCCCGCACAAGCGGUGGAGCAUGUGGUUUAAUUCGAAGCAACGCGAAGAACCUUACCAGGUCUUGACAUCUAGUGCCAUUUGUAGAGAUACAAAGUUCCCUUCGGGGACGCUAAGACAGGUGGUGCAUGGCUGUCGUCAGCUCGUGUCGUGAGAUGUUGGGUUAAGUCCCGCAACGAGCGCAACCCUUGUUAUUAGUUGCCAGCAUUAAGUUGGGCACUCUAAUGAGACUGCCGGUGACAAACCGGAGGAAGGUGGGGAUGACGUCAAGUCAUCAUGCCCCUUAUGACCUGGGCUACACACGUGCUACAAUGGGCAGUACAACGAGAAGCGAGCCUGCGAAGGCAAGCGAAUCUCUGAAAGCUGUUCUCAGUUCGGACUGCAGUCUGCAACUCGACUGCACGAAGCUGGAAUCGCUAGUAAUCGCGGAUCAGCACGCCGCGGUGAAUACGUUCCCGGGCCUUGUACACACCGCCCGUCACACCAUGGGAGUCUGCAAUGCCCAAAGCCGGUGGCCUAACCUUCGGGAAGGAGCCGUCUAAGGCAGGGCAGAUGACUGGGGUGAAGUCGUAACAAGGUAACCGUA